CGCCUAAACCUUAUAGAUUUCCCAUAAGGCAUGGCAGAAAAAACCCGUCAAAGGUAUUAAGCUCGUCGUCAGAGCACCUUUGACGGGUCAUAUCCCGAAAGGGGUAUGGGUGGUCGCAAGGCCAUC
rnacentral:sRNA from 12 species